rnacentral:rRNA from 1 species
UACGAAGGGGGCUAGCGUUGUUCGGAAUUACUGGGCGUAAAGCGCACGUAGGCGGCUUCUUAAGUCAGGGGUGAAAUCCUGGAGCUCAACUCCAGAACUGCCUUUGAUACUGGGAGGCUCGAGUCCGGGAGAGGUGAGUGGAACUGCGAGUGUAGAGGUGAAAUUCGUAGAUAUUCGCAAGAACACCAGUGGCGAAGGCGGCUCACUGGCCCGGUACUGACGCUGAGGUGCGAAAGCGUGGGGAGCAAACAGG